UGGACCUCAGAUCAGGCAAGAUUACCCGCUGAGUUUAAGCAUAUCACUAAGCGGAGGAAAAGAAACUAACUAGGAUUUCCCUAG
rnacentral:rRNA from 2 species